UGUGUGUGUGUGUGUGUGUGUGUGUGUGUGUGUGUGUGUGUGUGGUGAGUUUAGGUAUAACUAUUUUUGUUCAAGCAAUGGCUGUUAAAAGUGUAUUUACUUUUUCUUUCCAGAUGAAACUUAGAAACCUGUCAUACAGAGUUAGUGACGCUUCUCCCCACUGCCCUGCUCCUGAAAGUACUGAGGCACAGCACACCCACCUGCACAUCAGACCCCAGGGCCUGCCCAAGAUUGCAUCAUCCCCAUCACAUCCCAGUAUGCAACAGAUGACUCUUCAGAAGACGAUGAAGCAGUCUUCAAACAGCAGUGGUUCACAGACCUGCCCCAUGGACCACGGCCAUACUCAGAGAACAGGGGUAAAGUGCAUUUGCUCUCAGACAGGUUUUUUCUUGUUUUCUUUACAGUAUUAUUUAUUUCCUAC
rnacentral:lncRNA from 1 species